CCUGGAGCUAUUGGAACAGCAUCAGAAACCUGCUGGAUCCCUGCUAGAAAGUGUCCUUUUAAUUCUUGGUCAAAUUCUGCUCCAAAUGUGGUUGAAAGCAAAACUGCUAUUUACUUUAAUGCUCACCAGCUUUCAUCUGUUGCUUUUGGAAUAAACCGAGAUCAGACAUGAGAAGUGCUAUGUACUGCUGUUAAGAUGGUAAGUCAGUGCUGUGCUGGGAGAGGAUGGGAAUGAGCCGUUUGGUACGUUCCGGUCCAAGGGACAAGGCCUUUUAGGGGUGAGAUGUGGCAAACGAUACUCCUGGGCUUACCAGCAUGGAGUUGAGGCUAUGGCUUUCCAUCCUUCUCUCUUUUUCCUUAAUUUCACUUCUAGGACAAUUGGGUGUCUGCAGCCAAGUAUAUUAUAUUUGUGCCCACUGUGAUCAUUUCCAUGUUUUUUCAACUUGUUCCAUCCUGCUAUGCCAGCAGCUCUGGAGAAGCCAUCCCUGUGCUCGCAGCUGUGGAUGUGACCAAGCCAGCAAAGGAGCUCUGCCACUGGGUUCCUGCGCUAUCAUGAUGCUACAGAUAGCCUCCACCAGCAUGGAUAGGUGGUCAUGCUUAGCUGGCCGAUGGAGCAGGGCCUUAAGCUCCACCAAAGUGACGCCUGCUUUCCUCAGCUUUGCCAGCCCAUCAGUGGAGUUCAAGAGAGGUCAGCAAGGCCGUGCAACUACCUGUAAAGGAGUGAAGUGGAAACAGUUCCCAGAAAUGCACUACAAUUGUAAUGGAAAGAAUCAAGAAGGACUCAAGGCUGAAUCAGAAAAUGGAGAGUGUUCGAGGCUGAAAGCACACAUGGAAAGAUUCCUUCACCUCUCAGACAGAAAUGUUUGCAGGUAAUCACUGGCAAAAAUUUGCUGGGUUAUCCAGAAUGUUUUCCCACUUUUACUUGUAAACCUGAGGCACCAGAAGAUGGAAGUGAGGGAUUAAUGUAGAUACAAAUAACAUUCACUUCGCUUGCACUAAGCCUACCAAAUUUCACAGGAAUGCUUAUAAUGGAAGCCAUCAGGUCCAGUAGUGUGGGGAAGUAUUCCAUGUGUAGGAAAACAGGGUGUAGACUAUGUAAGUAAAAAAAAAAAAAGUUUUUAUAAUUCCUUUUGUGCUCUUACUGGAGUAAGUAAUUUCUAUACGCUGACCUUAUUUUUUUCUCUUACUGAAAUCUUUCUAAUGAGGUAACAGACCUUAAUUUGAAGGUCUUUAAUUUGAAGAAACCUGUGUUGUUUUAUUUUUAAACCUGUACAAAUAUUUUUCCUGACCAGUUGCUGAGUAGUUCAUAGUGUGAUAUACUUUGAAUUUCAGGUAUCGUUGAGAUGAUUUCAGUGAAACUGUGAGUGUAGAAAUAAGGCAAAACCUUGCCUGUAUGCAAAGGAAAGACUACAAAAAAAGGACUUUCCCAGGCUUUUUCUACUCCCUCUUUGAUGUCAUUUCAUCCGAUAUUUAUUUGAAAAUCUAAACAUGAGAGCAUGUGCACUUCCUGUGGCUGACACUGUUUCUAUUUCUGAAGUAAAGGAAAUGAUUAUUUUCCUAUUUGCUUACUUCUUUUGUACUGAUUCAGCCACAAAUACUAGUUGACCUCAGUUGGAUACAGAUCUAUCCAAGCUUUUCUGUUCUGCUCCUUGUGAAAUCUUGCAUCCAUGCAUGCAUGAAUCCUCUCCCACCUUUUUUUGGUUUCUCAAUCUGUAUUUUGUUUACGGUCUGUAGCACACAGAUUGCUGCUGUGUGCCCAGAAACCACAAUGAGUGCAAGUGUGGAGUGACAGCAGACCACAGGAUGCAUGUGCUGAUAUUUUGAUGAAAGUGGUAUGGUCAUUUUCAAGAACUCUUGCUGGCAGAAGAGGAUG
ensembl:lncRNA